GUGCUUAACACAUGCAAGUCGAACGGAAAGGCCUCUUCGGAGGUACUCGAGUGGCGAACGGGUGAGUAACACGUGGGUAAUCUGCCCUGCACUUCGGGAUAAGCCUGGGAAACUGGGUCUAAUACCGGAUAGGACCUUUUGGCGCAUGCCUUUUGGUGGAAAGCUUUUGCGGUGUGGGAUGGGCCCGCGGCCUAUCAGCUUGUUGGUGGGGUGACGGCCUACCAAGGCGACGACGGGUAGCCGGCCUGAGAGGGUGUCCGGCCACACUGGGACUGAGAUACGGCCCAGACUCCUACGGGAGGCAGCAGUGGGGAAUAUUGCACAAUGGGCGCAAGCCUGAUGCAGCGACGCCGCGUGGGGGAUGACGGCCUUCGGGUUGUAAACCUCUUUCAGCAGGGACGAAGCGCAAGUGACGGUACCUGCAGAAGAAGCACCGGCCAACUACGUGCCAGCAGCCGCGGUAAUACGUAGGGUGCGAGCGUUGUCCGGAAUUACUGGGCGUAAAGAGCUCGUAGGUGGUUUGUCGCGUUGUUCGUGAAAUC
rnacentral:rRNA from 1 species